rnacentral:rRNA from 1 species
GCCUAACACAUGCAAGUCGAGCGGAAACGACACUAACAAUCCUUCGGGUGCGUUAAUGGGCGUCGAGCGGCGGACGGGUGAGUAAUGCCUAGGAAAUUGCCUUGAUGUGGGGGAUAACCAUUGGAAACGAUGGCUAAUACCGCAUAAUGCCUACGGGCCAAAGAGGGGGACCUUCGGGCCUCUCGCGUCAAGAUAUGCCUAGGUGGGAUUAGCUAGUUGGUGAGGUAAUGGCUCACCAAGGCGACGAUCCCUAGCUGGUCUGAGAGGAUGAUCAGCCACACUGGAACUGAGACACGGUCCAGACUCCUACGGGAGGCAGCAGUGGGGAAUAUUGCACAAUGGGCGAAAGCCUGAUGCAGCCAUGCCGCGUGUAUGAAGAAGGCCUUCGGGUUGUAAAGUACUUUCAGUUGUGAGGAAGGGGGUAGCGUUAAUAGCGCUAUCUCUUGACGUUAGCAACAGAAGAAGCACCGGCUAACUCCGUGCCAGCAGCCGCGGUAAUACGGAGGGUGCGAGCGUUAAUCGGAAUUACUGGGCGUAAAGCGCAUGCAGGUGGUUCAUUAAGUCAGAUGUGAAAGCCCGGGGCUCAACCUCGGAACUGCAUUUGAAACUGGUGAACUAGAGUACUGUAGAGGGGGGUAGAAUUUCAGGUGUAGCGGUGAAAUGCGUAGAGAUCUGAAGGAAUACCAGUGGCGAAG